GACGAACGCCGGCGGCGUGCUUAACACAUGCAAGUCGAACGGUGAAGCGCCUUCCUUUUUGGUGGGUGUGGAUGAGUGGCGAACGGGUGAGUAACACGUGAGUAACCUGCCCCCUUCUUCUGGAUAACCGCAUGAAAGUGUGGCUAAUACGGGGUAUUCUGGGUCUGUCGCAUGAUGGGUCUGGGAAAGAUAUUGUUUCGGUGGGGGAUGGGCUCGCGGCCUAUCAGCUUGUUGGUGGGGUGAUGGCCUACCAAGGCGGUGACGGGUAGCCGGCCUGAGAGGGUGGACGGUCACACUGGGACUGAGACACGGCCCAGACUCCUACGGGAGGCAGCAGUGGGGAAUAUUGCACAAUGGGCGCAAGCCUGAUGCAGCGACGCCGCGUGAGGGAUGGAGGCCUUCGGGUUGUGAACCUCUUUCGCCAGUGAAGCAGGCCUGCCUCGUUUGUGGGUGGGUUGACGGUAGCUGGAUAAGAAGCGCCGGCUAACUACGUG
rnacentral:rRNA from 1 species